rnacentral:lncRNA from 10 species
AGCAGAGCCAAGGUGUCCCAGCUGAGACCCACCCAAACCAACCGGCCUGCCAAUGCUCCCAGACAGGUGAAUGAAGCCAUCCUAUAUGACCUAGCUUCAGUUACGCUAGCAAAGACCAGAAGAACUGCCCAGCCAACUCCCAAAAGUGUAGGAAAUAAUAAGAAUUUAUUGUCUCUAAACUACUAGGUUUUGGAGUGGCCUUUUACACAACAGAAGCCAACUGAUUAAGACAGAUAGAGUCAAAUUGGCUAUACCAUUUUAUACUCAUACCAGCAGGCUGUGAGAGUUAUUUCCUCAGUAUCACAGUAUAAAAAAAUUAUCAGGUAAUUCCCUCUAAUGUGAAAAGAAAAAGAAAUGCAACCAGCCAAUAAGCAUGCAAAAAGAUGUUCUCUCUUCUUUCUACAGAAUGACUGACUAUCUGCUCUUCCCCACCACCUUUUCUUCUCUAGCUUUCUGAAUCCACAAAUGAGCAGCUUGGAGAAGUGCAUUGGCAGGCAUAUCAGCUACCCUAGGGGGUGACCACCCAGUGCCUACCAUGCAGGUAACAUCUGAUACCUCAGGUUGGAAUACAGUGUUGAAUUCUCG